rnacentral:rRNA from 1 species
AUGCAGGUGCGUGGGCUAAUGGGAGAAGGUCUCACGCCGGCGUCGGCCUACGUCUGCGAGGUUGGGCGAGAUCUGGCGGUUGGCGGUGGCUCGAUCCGCUCCUCCAUCGGGAGCUGCGAGGAGGCUGGGGCUCUUGGGCGUGCCAUGCGCUGGAAGGUGGAGGAGGCUGGUUUGGUGGUUGCUCGGGUUUGGAGCAGCAAGGAUAUGGGGCUGCACUUUCUUGGAGCAGCAUGCAAUGGAGCCAAGGUUAAGAACGUGUAUGAUGCUGAUUUUGGUGGUUUGGACAUGGAUUUGAGGGUGGAGAAUGGCCACAUGAAAGAGGCAUUCAGGACUGAUCUCCUAGGUUGGUGGAUCUGCGACGUUCCGGUUCCUGCUGUUGGUCAGCCGUUUCUUUGGUCGAGAGAUUAA